GACGAACGCUGGCGGCAUGCCUAACACAUGCAAGUCGAACGGAACUUGUUGAAUGAAGUUUUCGGAUGGAUUUUGAUAAGUUUAGUGGCGACGGGUGAGUAACGCGUGAGCAACCUGCCUUUCAGUGGGGGGUCAACAGUUGGAAACGACUGCUAAUACCGCAUAAUGUUAUUUGGGGGCAUCCCCGAAUAACCAAAGAUUUAUUGCUGAAAGAUGGACUCGCGUCUGAUUAGCUAGAUGGCGGGGUAACGGCCCACCAUGGCGACGAUCAGUAGCCGGACUGAGAGGUUGAACGGCCACAUUGGGACUGAGAUACGGCCCAGACUCCUACGGGAGGCAGCAGUGGGGAAUAUUGGGCAAUGGGCGAAAGCCUGACCCAGCAACGCCGCGUGAAGGAAGAAGGUUUUCGGAUUGUAAACUUCUGAUCUAUGGGAAGAAGAAAGUGACGGUACCAUAGGAGAAAGCCACGGCUAACUACGUG
rnacentral:rRNA from 1 species